GAUCUUUAUUUUUAUUUUUUUAUAAAUUAGUAAGAUUAAAAAAAUUUAUAGAAAAAUUAAAAAUUUUACUGGGGUGGUAUUAAAAUUUAAUUAACUUUUAUUUUUAUUUACAUUAAUAUAUGAAUAAUUGAUCCAAUUUUAUUGAUUAAAAAUUUAAGUUACCUUAGGGAUAACAGCGUAAUUUUUUUUUAGAGUUCAUAUCGACAAAAAAGAUUGC
rnacentral:rRNA from 1 species